AUAUUUGUUGCAAACCCUUCCAGGGUAUGUGGCUGAACUUCUGUAAAAAUAUUAAGAAUUGACAGCAUGAAGAUAAUGAUAGCAUUGAGAUACAUUUUGUUGGUAUUUUGUUGUGUGUUUGCAAAAUAGAUGAUCUUUGUAGAUUUCUGUUCCCUCUAUUGCUGUUCUGCCCAAGUAAUUUAAUCUACAAGUUUAAGAACUUUUCCAUGAUGACAUCAAAUAUGAGUAUCAAAUGCAUUGGAGAAACUAUCUACCCUCUUACUUCCUAAUUUUAUUACAUGAUUGUUAUUGGUGGUGGUAUUCUUUUUUCUGUUCAUUUAAGUGUUUAUGUGUUGUCUGCAACACUUUUGUAUAUGUUAUUUUCACAUUAUAUAAUUCACAGAAGUAAUGUAAUGUAAAGCAAGAAAGUUUUAUCCAAAAGAAGAGACCAUUUAAGCAUGCACAUGGUUGCUGUUACUUGUUAUGGGAGAUGAUUAGAGUAGUAGUUGUAUGGUGUGUCAUGAGUCAAGACUUGUUGCCUUCAACUGUGGAAACAAGGUUAUCAUCCUUUUCAAGUAAGAAAGGGAAAUUUUUAAGACUGGGUGAAUUUGAUUUUGCAAUUAUUGUGGUCCAUUUACAUUCUUUCAUUGGUUUUUGCUAUUCACUUAAUAUUCUGUUAAGCAGUUAUGUUUUCCUGUGGUGCCUUGAGAACUUAAAUCCUCAGUUUCCUUGGGUUCUAUAUUGAAUUAUUUGUUCAUAAUUGUGCCUGCUUAAUAUAAUUUUGAAGCCUGCAUUCAAGCAAUUUGGAUCUCAACUGAUUGCAAGAGUGUUGAUCAAUUAGUGUUGUGCCUUUCGACAGUAGCUGUUAAACUUAAAUGUUUGCACCCCUAGGUAGUAGGUAUAUAUGUUGAUAUGCUAUAACCAUGGUUGCUGUGGAGAACCUCUUUAUUUAUUUUUGCUUCCAUGUUAGUUAUUAGAUGGAAUAUCUAAUCUUCUGUGCUUUAAGUCCUUUUUUCUUCUCUUCUCCCUUUACACCUGUUACAUAAUCUGGUUGGUUGCCAAAUGCAAAAUUUCUCAUAAUUUAAUGGUUCACAAAAUUGAAAAAUCUUUCUUAGAAGUUAUGUAGUGCAUGUCUCCUGUGGAAUUUUCAGAAUAUGUAUCUAAUUCUAAGUGGUGUUCACAUCAGUAAUGGUGCGUUUGGAGAUUUAUGAAUUUUUUCUUAUAUCAUUUUAUCAUUUACUAUUAUUGUUAAUUAUUUGUUAUUAAUAGAGUGUCCUGUUUUUAUUUUCACACACUUCCUUGUGAGUUCUUCUGUAAUAGGAUACUUACAGUUCUAAACUCUGCAUAUUUGUACAGAGGAUCACAAUUAAAGAAAUCAGGAACGAUCCAUGGUUUAUGAAGAAUUUGCCUAGGGAACUGACAGAGGCUGCUCAAGCCAUGUACUACAGGAGAGGA
rnacentral:misc_RNA from 1 species